rnacentral:rRNA from 1 species
CGCGGUAAUUCCAGCUCCAAUAGCGUAUAUUAAAGUUGUUGCAGUUAAAAAGCUCGUAGUUGGAUUUCGGAAGGUCCUUAGCAGUCCGCCCCUUCGGGGAGCGGGCUGCUGGCCUCCUAUGUUCCUAACGGUCCUCAUCCGCGAGGGUGGGGAAUCAACCGCUAGGAUCGUUUACUUUGAGGAAAUUAGAGUGUUCAAAGCAGGCGUAACUCGCCUCCGAAUACGUUAGCAUGGGAUAAUGGAAUACGACUUCGGUCUUGUUUCGUUGGUUUCGCUUGGCUGAAGUAAUGAUUGAUAGGGACAGUUGGGGGCAUUAGUAUUUAGUUGUCAGAGGUGAAAUUCUAGGAUUUACUAAAGACUGACCAAUGCGAAAGCAUUUGCCAAGGAUGUUUUCAUUAAUCAAGAACGAAAGUAGGGGGAUCGAAGACGAUCAGAUACCGUCGUAGUCUCUACCGUAAACUAUGCCGACCAGGGAUCCGGAGAGUUUGCAUGGAUGACUCCCCGGGCACCUUGUGAGAAAUCAUAAGUGUUUGGGUUUUGGGGGGAGUAUGGUCGCAAGGCUGAAACUUAAAGGAAUUGACGGAAGGGCACCACCAGGAGUGGAACCUGCGGCUUAAUUUGACUCAACACGGGGAAACUUACGAGGUCAGGACACUGUGAGGAUUGACAGAUUGAAAGCUCUUUCUUGAUUCAGUGGGUGGUGGUGCAUGGCCGUUCUUAGUUGGUGGAGUGAUUUGUCUGG